rnacentral:lncRNA from 1 species
UGUUUCCUGUGUUCUUUCUGUGCAGUAAAGAAGAUGUUGGGAAACUAUGAAAGGAGAUGUCCUGGGAUACAGCUUGUUCAUUUUCAUGAAACUGUGGAAAGAAUAUAAUCUUUGCUGGAACCUGAACUGAGAUUCAAAAUCCUGCCACUUUACUAACAAUGUGACUUCAGGAAAUUUAUUUAAUCCCUGCUGAAAUACCAACAGAGAAUCAUAUCAACCUUGUAAAAAGCUAUUGGACCAAGCUCUUCUGCCACGAAAAACA